CGCAUGGUUUUGAUUUGAAAGGCGCUUUCGGGUGUCGCUGAUGGAUGGACCCGCGGUGCAUUAGCUAGUUGGUGAGGUAACGGCUCACCAAGGCCACGAUGCAUAGCCGACCUGAGAGGGUGAUCGGCCACAUUGGGACUGAGACACGGCCCAAACUCCUACGGGAGGCAGCAGUAGGGAAUCUUCGGCAAUGGACGAAAGUCUGACCGAGCAACGCCGCGUGAGUGAAGAAGGUUUUCGGAUCGUAAAACUCUGUUGUUAGAGAAGAACAAGGAUGAGAGUAACUGUUCAUCCCUUGACGGUAUCUAACCAGAAAGCCACGGCUAACUACGUGCCAGCAGCCGCGGUAAUACGUAGGUGGCAAGCGUUGUCCGGAUUUAUUGGGCGUAAAGCGAGCGCAGGCGGUUUCUUAAGUCUGAUGUGAAAGCCCCCGGCUCAACCGGGGAGGGUCAUUGGAAACUGGGAGACUUGAGUGCAGAAGAGGAGAGUGGAAUUCCAUGUGUAGCGGUGAAAUGCGUAGAUAUAUGGAGGAACACCAGUGGCGAAGGCGGCUCUCUGGUCUGUAACUGACGCUGAGGCUCGAAAGCGUGGGGAGCAAACAGGAUUAGAUACCCUGGUAGUCCACGCCGUAAACGAUGAGUGCUAAGUGUUGGAGGGUUUCCGCCCUUCAGUGCUGCAGCUAACGCAUUAAGCACUCCGCCUGGGGAGUACGACCGCAAGGUUGAAACUCAAAGGAAUUGACGGGGGCCCGCACAAGCGGUGGAGCAUGUGGUUUAAUUCGAAGCAACGCGAAGAACCUUACCAGGUCUUGACAUCCUUUGACCACUCUAGAGAUAGAGCUUCCCCUUCGGGGGCAAAGUGACAGGUGGUGCAUGGUUGUCGUCAGCUCGUGUCGUGAGAUGUUGGGUUAAGUCCCGCAACGAGCGCAACCCUUAUUGUUAGUUGCCAUCAUUCAGUUGGGCACUCUAGCAAGACUGCCGGUGACAAACCGGAGGAAGGUGGGGAUGACGUCAAAUCAUCAUGCCCCUUAUGACCUGGGCUACACACGUGCUACAAUGGGAAGUACAACGAGUUGCGAAGUCGCGAGGCUAAGCUAAUCUCUUAAAGCUUCUCUCAGUUCGGAUUGCAGGCUGCAACUCGCCUGCAUGAAGCCGGAAUCGCUAGUAAUCGCGGAUCAGCACGCCGCGGUGAAUACGUUCCCGGGCCUUGUACACACCGCCCGUCACACCACGAGAGUUUGUAACACCCGAAGUCGGUGAGGUAACCUUUUGGAGCCAGCCGCCUAAGGUGGGAUAGAUGAUUGGGGUGAAGUCGUAACAAGGUAGCCGUAUCGGAAGGUGCGGCUGGAUCACCUCCUUU
rnacentral:rRNA from 1 species